rnacentral:rRNA from 1 species
UACGUAGGGUGCGAGCGUUAAUCGGAAUUACUGGGCGUAAAGCGUGCGCAGGCGGUUCGUUGUGUCGGCGGUGAAAGCCCCGGGCUUAACCUGGGAAUGGCCGUUGAAACUGGCGAACUGGAGUGUGGCAGAGGGGGUGGAAUUCCUGGUGUAGCGGUGAAAUGCGUAGAUAUCAGGAGGAACACCGGCGGUGUAGACGGCUUUCUGGACCGUAGCUGACGCUGAGACACGAAAGCGUGGGUAGCAAACAGG